rnacentral:sRNA from 1 species
GAUUUCCGGAGUCAGUCAUUUUACUGUCAAGACAUUUCUUCGGCAUUCUGCAACAGUUUCCAACGUGGCUAGAUCCAUCAGAAACUGAAGCCGUGGAGAACGCUCUCGGGGCCUUUGCCACUUCUUGGAGUAGAAGCCGACAGAGAGCUGUUUGGAAACUUCUCCUUCACACACCAGGUUGCUACUGAGGUCUAUUUCAUGUUGCAGUCAGAGCAGUUGCUUGUGUUUUUUAGUGCUUGAGUGAUUUUACAGAUAAAGUCAGCUUCUGCUUCUUGACCGGGAGGCAUUUGUGUGUGUGUGUGUGUGUGUGUGUGUUGCGGGAAGACAGAUCUAAGCUCUCCCUGUGAGGGGAAGAGUGGAUUGCACAAGCGGGGUUGGAUGGCUACACUGAGAUUACCCCACAUUUAAUCAGUUUGCCAAUGAGGAAGCCCCUUAUCUUCAAAAAAGGCAAGAAAGAAAGAAAGACUUCAUUUUCCCCCUUCUCUUUCUGUUCCAGUUGAAGACUA